rnacentral:rRNA from 1 species
UACGUAGGGUCCGAGCGUUGUCCGGAGUUACUGGGCGUAAAGCGCGCGCAGGCGGCGGUGCUGGCCCGGCGUGAAAGCCCCCGGCUCAACCGGGGAGAGUCGUCGGGGACCGCACCGCUUGAGGGCGGUAGGGGCUGGUGGAAUGCCUGGUGUAGUGGUGAAAUGCGUAGAGAUCAGGCAGAACACCUGGGGCGAAGGCGGCCAGCUGGGCCGUCCCUGACGCUGAGGUGCGAAAGCGUGGGGAGCAAACAGG